AUACGGAGGGUGCAAGCGUUAAUCGGAAUUACUGGGCGUAAAGCGCACGUAGGCUGUUGUGUAAGUCAGGGGUGAAAUCCCACGGCUCAACCGUGGAACUGCCUUUGAUACUGCACGACUUGAAUCCGGGAGAGGGUGGCGGAAUUCCAGGUGUAGGAGUGAAAUCCGUAGAUAUCUGGAGGAACACCAGCGGCGAAGGCGGCCACCUGGACCGGUAUUGACGCUGAGGCGCGAAAGCUGGGGGAGCAAACAGGAUUAGAUACCCUGGUAGUCCCAGCCGUAAACGAUGAGUGCUAGGUGGUGGUGGUUUCAACGCCUUCACCGCCGUCGCUAACGCAUUAAGCACUCCGCCUGGGGAGUACGGCCGCAAGGUUGAAACUCAAAGGAAUUGACGGGG
rnacentral:rRNA from 1 species